rnacentral:sRNA from 1 species
GUCAGGUACGGUGGCGCAUGCCUGUAAUCCUAGCGGCUCAGGAGACUGAGACAGUAGGACCGUGAGUUCAAAGCCAGCAACAGGAAGGUGCUAAGCAACUCAGUGAGACCCUGUCUCUA